CCCUUCCCGGGGGCGAGCACAGGUACCUGCGGAAGCCCGGGGCUGCGCGGGAGAGGGCCGGGCAACGGCGGUCAAGGCUCCGUCGCAGCGCUCCUGGCCUCAGACGGUUGCUCGUCGGUCGCUAGCCAGCAGCGGUACCCGCUCUAAGGUCUCCCGCCAACCCGGAGCGAGGGAGCGCGAGGCCGGCAGGGGCCAAUCAGCGCGCACAGCCGGCCGAGGGGGCGGGGCCUGCCUGGGAGUGCGCGCCGGCGAACCCCGCCCCUCCCUGCCCCCCGCCCGCCCGAGCCUCGGCCGCGGGCCUCCCUCCUCCGUUAUCCCGCCUGCCCGCGCAAAACUCACACAACCCUCUUCAUUCGACCUACCUCCCUUGGGCACGUCUCGCAGUCAGGCUUGCGUUGGGGCCGUUUACUUCCCUUCGAUUAGACAACCAGGCCCCCGGGGCUGGGGCUGCGGCCUCCCCUCCCCGCCCGGCACACGCGGGCACAGCGUGGUUACCCUGGUUACUCAAAAGGAAGAGGCCGCUUGAACUGAGAAAAGCACAACGUGUGAAUACGGUGGCUUCUUGUGAGAAGGGGCCAUUCUAUUGUAACUGUGAAUCUGCAGCAGUAAUCUUUUUGGCUUUGUCCUAGCCUUUGACUACGUGGGUGCUUAAUACAUGCAUGUUGAAUGAACAAAUAAAAAGAAUUCUAAACAGCUUUUUGAUCCCAUCCUUUCCUUAUGUCCCUCCUAAGGUAUAACCGGCUUUUUCUUUCUUUUUGAGACUGAGUCCCGCUCUGUCGCCCAGGCUGGAGCAGUGGCACGAUCUCGGCUCACUGCAUACCUCUGCCUCCCGGGUUCAAGCAGUUCUCCCGCCUCAGCCUCCUAAGUAGCUGGGACCACAGGUGCCGCCACGCCCGCCUAAUUUUUAAACAUGCCUUGUAGAGCAGAGUCCUAUGUGGCCCAGGCUGGCCUUGAACUGAACUCAGGCAAUCCUCCCACUGGGAUUACAAUCCUAAGCCACCACACCCAGUGUAAAUCUUUUUUUUUUUUUUUUGGUCUCCAUAUCACGGCUUUUUUCAUGUUGCUAGUCUUUCGAAACGUUUUCAAUGACUGCAUAAUAUUCCAGAGUGGAUGGACCAUUUAAGUCAUUUCAAUAUUUGGAUUGCUUCCAGAUUUUUUGGCUAAUACAAUGAUUACUCUUAAAAGGCAACCUGGCUCUGCCUACUUGUGGUACUUCCAGCAAAUAGCUCCUCAAUCAGCAGUUCUGAAGAACGAGUUAAUUCCUUCCUUCUUGUGCUUCCACACACAGCACAAUAAUGACAAAUUCACCUACAAGUACGAGGAGGGGGCCAACUGGGAACUUAUUUUUCCUUACACAUGCCCUUGACUCUUUCUCCCUGGCCUAUAAAUGGGAGAAUGGGCCAAGAAGCAUCAACUGGUUGUGAAAAUCUUGAGGAAAAUGGCUGCUUCAAGCUUCAUUCCUCUAGCUUUUCCCUAAGGAUCCUUCCUGACUUCUCUCUGCUCUUCCCCUUGUUUUUGCAAGGUACCGGUGUUGUGAUGAUUAAUUUCCAGCCUCGAGUAUAAAAUAUUUACUGAACAAUUAAUGUCCGCUACAUGAAAAACACAGAGGCAUGGCAAGUACCACAAUGAUGAAGACAACAUGGCCUUACCUUUCUAGAGCUUCCAAGCUAGACAGAUAUGGACACAACUAAAAUACAAGGCACAGUGAGUUGUGCCAUGAAGGAAAUGCAAGUGGCUGUAUAACGCACAAAGUACAGUUAUGAGAAGGUUCUUUAGGAUCCCAAAAUCUUUACAAAGGAAACAUGUAAAAUUUGCAUAUAAAAGCCAGCAAAUACACAUAAAUAUUCAUUAAGCUAUCAGGGAAGCAGCUUAUUGCUUAAGUUUUGACUUCAAGUAAAGGGUUACUACCAACUAAGCCUUCUUGAGUGUUCUCAUUCCUGAGUUUGUUUUGUUUUUUAAACUAUGUUGGUGUGUGGAGAAAAGUGAAUAUACUUUAGAAUCAUAUACACUUGGUUUGAAUUCAGGUACUACCAUUUUACUAGCUGUAUGAACGUGGUCAAAUCAUUUAACCCUGGCACCUCUCAUUAAAUGUAAAAGUAGGGUGAUACCACCUACUCUGUAAAAGCGUCUGGGGCGAAUUUGAUAGCGAGCAAACUAGCAGUGCACUGGUCCACAGUAGGUGUUGUUAGCUUCCUUCUUGCCUCUUUUCAUUUGACCUGGGAUUGGAUGAGAACUCAAAACACUUAACUGAACAAUUUAUUCCUUUGUCUCUAGGCAUGGCUUUUCCCCACUAAAAAAGCAUUGAUUGUCCAUAACUUGAUCAUCUCCUGCACUGUGUCCUGCAGUGCCUCCAGGUUGUCCCCAUUCUAAUUUCCUAACUCUCCUUUCCUAAAUGUAUCUCCUAUUAUCCAGUAAGAAUGAGAGAAACACUCAUACUUGUUUUGAACUUUCCCACUUCUUUGACCUUGCAUAUUACUGUAGUGUGCUCUCUUCAUCACUCUCAUUUAAAAUUUCUGUCUGGUAUCCAGCCUUUGAGACCCAGCUUAAAUUAAUCAGCUCAUCAUCAUUUGAGUGCUUAGUAAGUGCAGGCUGUGUGCCAUGCUUGAAUUCCUGUAGCAUUUUCUGAAAUUAUCAUUUAUGUAAUCUUAUUAACCAGCUUUUUAAAAUAAAAAUGUUUGUGUAUACAGAUACAAUUAUAUAUGAAUCGGAUCAUAUACAUACUUUAAAAAUGUACAAAACAAUACAUGUAGCAUAUAUGGAGGCUGAGACAUAAUAAAAACUUGUGAAGCCACCGCCUACCAAAACACAUGAACCUAACAUCCAAGAGACAGGACAUCAACAAUACUGUUGAGAUUCUGUAUGCUCCUCCUUCUCCCAUUAUGAUCCCCAGGAGGCGACUGUUUCCCAUUCUCUUUUCUUUGCGUAUCCUAAAACACAAGUUUUAUUUGUGAACUAUUCAACCUCAGUAUUCCUCAUAGAUUUAGCCAUGCUAAUGCAUAACACUGUGAAUCAUUUUCAUUGUUGUUUUCUGUGACUAGAUGAUUUUUUUUUUUUUUUUUUUUUGAGACGGAGUCUCGUUCUGUCACCCAGGCAGGAGUGCAGUGGCGCGAUAUCGGCUCACUGCAAGCCCCGCCUCCCGGGUUCACGCCAUUCUACCUCAGCCUCCCGAGUAGCUGGGACUACAGGUGCCCGCCACCACACCCGGCUAAUUUUUUGUAUUUUUAGUAGAAACGAGGUUUCACCGUGUUAGUCAGGAUGGUCUCCAUCUCCUGACCUUGUGAUCCGCCCGCCUCGGCCUCCCUAAGUGCUGGUAUUACAGGCAUGAGCCACCGUGCCCAGCCGACUUAACACAGAAGACAGCUCUGGAUUUUCUUUUCAGCACCCUUUUCUAGUAAAUGGUUCUACCUAACCUGCUAAACCACUUGAAAGCAGGGAUAGUUGCUAUGUUCAUGCAAUAUCCCUUCCCUCUCUUACUUGAUGGAGUUGUAAGGGUCUUUGAGACAAAUUGGGCCAAAUUUCUUUCGUGUAAUUCUGCACUGAGACCACGUAUUCAGCCUGGGUGACUGUUCUUUUAAGUUAAAGAGAUUAAAAGCUCUGAGAAGUAUCAAAAAUAGAACAAUUGGCCGGGCACGGUGGCUCGUGGCUCACUACAAAGGUGACAUUAAGAUCAAGAAAACAGAAUAGAGACUAUAGAAAGGGGAGGAAAGAAAGUAAUCCUGAGGAUCUUGCGAUGUUUGUUCUCAGUAACAGGCAACUUCUCCACUAUGCCUGUCAGGUGCUAGCUGCAAAAUGCUCCUUCAAGAAACUCAGCCUCCCGAGUAGCUGGGAUUACAGGUGUGUGCCACCAGGCCUGGCUAAUUUUUGUACUUUUAGUAGAGACAGGGUUUUCCCAUGUUGGCCAGGCUGGUCUCGAACUCCUGAUCUCAAGUGACCUGCCAGCCUUGGCCUCCCAAACUGCUGGGAUUACAGGCGUGAGCCACCGUGCCUGGCUGACUUCUUAAACUUACCAAUAGUUUACAAAGUAGGGGCCAGAGUUUUGACAAACCAUUUAUUUUGGCAGUACAGACUCAAAUCAAUUUUCUCCUUGAAACUUCAGCAUUCUUGUCAUAAGAGACAAAAGCAGUUACAUGAGGAUAAAGAAAAACUGGAAUUUUAUUAUUUGUGGUUAACUUCUUCAGGUCAAGGUGUCAAAACAGUAAUACAAGUAGAGAUUUUUGACACCCACUUGCCAUUCAUUAAGCAAGUAUCUGCAGGCCUCCUAUGUGGCAGGCGCCACUCUACGAUAAGGAGAUACGAAUCAGUGAACAAAAGAGAAAAAAAAUACCUGCAUGGGCGCAAUGGCUCAUGCCUGUAAUCCCAACACUUUGCGAGGCUGAGGUGGGCGGAUCACUUGAGCUCAGGAGUUGGAGACCAUCCUAGGGAACAUGGUAAAACCCCCCACUCUACAAAA
rnacentral:lncRNA from 10 species